rnacentral:rRNA from 1 species
AACGAACGCUGGCGGCAGGCCUAACACAUGCAAGUCGAACGCUGUAGCAAUACAGAGUGGCAGACGGGUGAGUAACGCGUGGGAACGUGCCCUUCGGUUCGGGAUAACUCAGGGAAACUUGAGCUAAUACCGGAUACGCCCUUUGGGGGAAAGAUUUAUUGCCGAAGGAUCGGCCCGCGUCCGAUUAGCUAGUUGGUGAGGUAAAGGCUCACCAAGGCGACGAUCGGUAGCUGGUCUGAGAGGAUGAUCAGCCACACUGGGACUGAGACACGGCCCAGACUCCUACGGGAGGCAGCAGUGGGGAAUAUUGGACAAUGGGCGCAAGCCUGAUCCAGCCAUGCCGCGUGAGUGAUGAAGGCCCUAGGGUUGUAAAGCUCUUUCAGCGGGGACGAUAAUGACGGUACCCGCAGAAGAAGCCCCGGCUAACUUCGUGCCAGCAGCCGCAGUAA